rnacentral:lncRNA from 1 species
UUCCUAUAAAAGAAAUCUUUAAUAUUAAAUUUGACUAGAUUUAUAAGUAUUAUAUACAUUGAACUCGAUUUCAUUGAAAUUAAACCAUUCUUAAGCUACAAUAAAUAAUUGGCACACGAUAGUCGUUGAUUUCGACUUUUUCGACAACUUAACCUCAAAUCCGGAUCAGAUAAUCGGUAGUCAUUCUCCUUAUCUGGUAAACUAUUUGAACGACAACGAUUCAUUGUUCGUCUUGGAGAUCCUGUGUUCACUUAACAAAGGUUUAGCAACAGUUUCUCGUUUGGUGAAAAUACAAAACCGGUCGAGGUAGGACGACUGAAUGAAACGAUUUCGCAAUUAUACCAGAUGCUAAACUCUCUCGUGUCACGCUGGAUAUUCGAAACCUUGUUACCGGCUCGGAUCAAUUAGAUUUGCGAUUAUUGCACUGAGACUAAUCGUGGAUAUAUUGAUGUUUAUAGAAAAGAAGAAAAUGAUGUUUACAGUUGUUUAUCGUGGACGCGAUUAUGAUUUUUACGAACGAAGAGAGAUAGAACAGGAAUAUAUUUUAAAUAAUUACGUGGGAAAUCAAGAGAUAAUGAUAAAAUCUCAAAACACAUAAACAUAUGGAUUCAUAAUCUAUUCGCAUCCAUAUUCAAAUGUUCUAAAUCUAUCUGUGAGAUACUUGAUCCCAUCGCUACAAUGAUAACUUGAAUAGAAGGAAACAGAGAAGAGAAGAUCGGUCAGUUCUCCCUGUGUCGGUGUUCGCGCCACAGAUUGCAUCAGCACGCCCUUAAUCCUAUUAUGACUAAGUAAUGACUCCUUAGUAUGCCGACUCGAGAACCGUAAAAAUGUUGUGUCAGAUGCUAUCUGACUGGUUGUCGUUUGGUAAUUUACUAUACGUCCAGCAUCGGCUAAAGGUCCAGUUCAUCUUGUUAAGCACAUUUAUUGAAAAAGUGACAUGACUCAAAAUUUGCAUUUGUCGAAUUCUUUGUCACAAAGAAUGAACAUUGCUUAAGAAGCAUCAAGCAAUCACUACUGAAGAGAAACAGAAAAAGAGAAAGAGAGAGAAGGAACGAUGGUAUUUAUAGGUCGUUCGAAUUCUAUGGACCUCGAGAGAACACGACAAGUAAUAAGUUUCGUUUAAGUCUGAGCAAUCAGAUAACGAUCGGAAUUUUGCGGCGAGAAGAAAGAGAGAAUCGAGGGAGAAAGAGAGAUUGUGUAUCCAAUCUACUUGUAAUUAUAUGCGACGGAAUCUGGUAUGUAAGGAUUGUUUAACGGUAAACGAUGAAUUGGUGCAAAUAGCAGGACUGAACAGUUAUUAACGAAAUUGCCAUGAACCAUCUGAUUAAGAGGAUUGCUUUGAAGUACAUGUGUGUAUUAUGCAAUAUGAUGAACAAGAGAAUAGAUUCAUCAGAUUUGCGUCCCUUGAACAAGUUAUGCAUAGAUGAAUGAAUGGAGAUGAAUUUUAUGGAUGAUUCUUCGAAAAAAGUUAUUCUAAAGAGUAGCAUGUGUUAGAGAGAUAUUAUGAGGAUAAAAUUUUUGUUAUUGUUUUUUUUUUAAAGUUCUAUUGUGGAAUAUUUAUUUAACACAUAUUUAAAUUGCAGGAAUAGUAAAAUGAAAACUGUGAAGUAAAUAAUUGAAUAAAAUAAAGAUAUAAUUAUAAUCAAGAAUUUUUGAAAAAUAUUGAAAGAAGGAGAGGAAUUAAAAAAAUUGAACGAAAAAAUGCUGUUAUUAGGUCAAUCAAUAUUUAAAUAAAGUUAAUUUAUUGAUGAAAAAAAAAAUGACUGUAAUUAAGAGAUAAAAAAACAACAUCAAAGCCGCAAUGAGAGUCGUAAAGAUGAGCCAACAGAACCAUAAAAGCAACAGCAGAACAAUAAAUCUAAUAUUUCGUAAAACUCUGGUUCCCUCUUUCCAUCAUCAACGAUUAGGAAUGAUUCUCGAGAGCUUCUUAAUAACGAAUGAUCCCAAAUCCAUCAAAACUCGAAACGACGAAAAUACUAUAUCCUAUCCAUGAAAAAAGGAGUCCUCGAAAAAAAUAUGUAAAAGGGUCCACCAGAAACCAGUUCAGAUUUAUCGCUUCCGGUAUAGUGAAAAAUAUGAAGCAAAUUAACAUGCCCAAGUAAUAUUGUUACGAUGAUUUAUGGGUGAAAACACGAGGAAGCUGUCCAACGUCAUUUCAAGCGGCAAAGAGAAUGCGAAUUUGCAAGAAACUAAGCCGACUGCAUACCAACGAGCCUGAAACCCAAGAAAGCCGAUCUUUCCGCAAUAUCUUUACCACCUUAAUUCCCUGCGAAUCUCGUGAAAAAAAGGCGCGAACAUCGUCCAAAGGGAUUUAAACGGCUACUUAUUCUCGUUCAGUUUGGUUUGUGAUAAACCAGCAAGAUACAAAGAUAAAAAUGGAUGUGAUAAUAUACGUGUAAGUUUAUAAGUUUACAUGUUUUGAGAUAGGAAUAGAAUGUCUCAAGUGACAGUAAGUAUUUGAACGAUUUUAAAAUUUAUUCAGCUCAAAAAAACAUUUCAAUGAAAAAGAAUUAUUCCAAAAACUUAUUUUCUUCACUUUUAAUCACGCAAAUUGGAAUCAAUUGCUAAUACAAAAAGUAAUUGGAGAUAACAUACAGAACCACUGUGUUACAAUACUUGUCACUUGAAAUGAGUUCAAAUCACGUUGCUCUAAGGAUGCUUUUAAUUUGAAAGCAAAUUCUCCAAGAUAAUGUAUGAACUUGGCAAUGGUAACGUUGAAAGGAUAAUGCACCAACUUUGUCUACCCUUUAAAAAACGUUGACCGAGAAGAAAGAUGUUCGAAUGAUGGACGUUCAACUCGAAUAGUUUUCCAGAUGUCAUCUCUUUCUCGAGAUUCACA